GACGAACGCUGGCGGCGUGCUUAACACAUGCAAGUCGAGCGGUAAGGCCCUUUCGGGGGUACACGAGCGGCGAACGGGUGAGUAACACGUGGGUGACCUGCCCUCAGCUCUGGGAUAAGCCUGGGAAACUGGGUCUAAUACUGGAUAUGACUCCACGGUGCAUGUCGUGGGGUGGAAAGCCUUGUGCGGCUGAGGAUGGGCCCGCGGCCUAUCAGCUUGUUGGUGGGGG
rnacentral:rRNA from 1 species